CUCACUGCUGUCAUCGCACCAUUGCCAGUUAAUUAAUGUUUUUGUCAGACAGCCAGACAUACAAUUUGUUUUGUUUACAUCGAUAUCUGGCUAAACACGAUGCAUCUCCAACCAAACGUUCUACUGAAGCUGUCGUUACUCGCCAGUAUGUUGUUCAGUGUUGUCGGCUACAACGGCUGUCAAAUGGAAUGUUUUGAGAGCUGUGCCAAUCUUUGUCACCCCGACAAGAUGGGAGACAACUCUGCCGGCUGCUUCAACACUUGUAUGAGUAGAGUCGCUCAUUUCGUCUUUUUCUGUAUCUGUUGAACACUGCCUUGUGCUGUAUCUGUUGAACACUGCCUUGUGCUGUAUCUGUUGAACACUGCCUUGUGCUGUAUCUGUUGAACACUGCCUUGUGCUGUAUCUGUUGAACACUGCCUUGUGCUGUAUCUGUUGAACACUGCCUUGUGCUGUAUCUGUUGAACACUGCCUUGUGCUGUAUCUGUUGAACACUGCCUUGUGCUGUAUCUGUUGAACACUGCCUUGUGCUGUAUCUGUUGAACACUGCCUUGUGCUGUAUCUGUUGAACACUGCCUUGUGCUGUAUCUGUUGAACACUGCCUUGUGCUGUAUCUGUUGAACACUGCCUUGUGCUGUAUCUGUUGAACACUGCCUUGUGCUGUAUCUGUUGAACACUGCCUUGUGCUGUAUCUGUUGAACACUGCCUUGUGCUGUAUCUGUUUUUGUGCCAUUAAAUAACUAUUUUUUAAAUAUUUAAAUGUUUCAUGGUUCAUUAUUUGCUUUGUUUAUUAUUUUCUUUGUUCAUUAUUUUCUUUGUUUAUUAUUUUCUUUGUUUAUUAUUUUCUAAAAUACAUAAUUCACCAUUACUUUUUAUCAUCAUCAUAAAGUUACCGUUUGGCCUUUGAAAAAUGUUAACAAAUAU